UACGGAGGAUGCAAGCGUUAUCCGGAAUUAUUGGGCGUAAAGCGUCCGUAGGUGGCUAAUCAAGUCUGCUGUCAAAGCGUGGAGCUUAACUCCAUACCGGCGGUGGAAACUGAUGAGCUAGAGUGCGAUAGGGGUAGCAGGAAUUCCCAGUGUAGCGGUGAAAUGCGUAGAGAUUGGGAAGAACACCAGCGGCGAAAGCGUGCUACUGGGGCUGCACUGACACUGAGGGACGAAAGCUAGGGGAGCGAAAGGG
rnacentral:rRNA from 1 species